ensembl:lncRNA
UUGUCUCAGCUGACCCCUCCCAGUUCUCCCAGUGCUCCCAGUACCAUGUUGGAGAUGCUGCGGGUGUUCUCGGGGUUGAGCAUGACGAUCUCCGUGGUGACGUGGCCUUCAACGGCCUCGGCCAUCUCGGCCUCGGUGCAGUUGAUGGCCGGGUCCUUGAUGCGGAACCAGUUGUCGGCGUACCAACCAAUCAGGAACCAGACGUACUUCUUGCCGUAGAGCUUCUCCUUGUAGACCUGGAAGGGUGGGGAGAUCCGAGAUCCAUCAUCGGAAUCUGUCCGUUGGUCAUCGUGGUUGGUCCAUCAGCGUUGAUCUGUCAUCAUCAUCAUCAUUCAUCCAUCAUCUCCAUCAUCAUCCUUCUCCAUCCAUCCAUGAUCCAUCAUCACUGAUCCAUCAUCAUCAUCAUUGUCAUCAUCCCCCUCCAUCCAUGAUCCAUCAAUUUCCAUGAUCGAUCCAUCAUCAUUGAUCCAUCAUCAUCAUCAUCAUCAUCCAUGAUCCAUCAAUUCCCACCAUUGAUCCAUCAUCAUUGAUCCAUCAUCAUCAUUCAUCUCCAUCCAUCUCCAUCCAUCAAUUCCCACCAUUGAUCCAUCAUCAUCACCAUCAUCAUCAUCAUCAUCAUCUCCAUCCACGUCCAUCCAUGAUCCAUCAAUUCCUACCAUUGAUCUUCAUCGUUGGUCCAUCAUCAUCAAUCCAUCUUCAUCAUCCAUCAUCAUCUCCAUCCAUCUUCAUCCAUGAUCCAUCAAUUCCCACCACUGAUCCAUCAUUGAUCCAUCAUCAUCAUCAUCAUCAUCAUCAUCAUCUUCAUCCAUCCAUGAUCCAUCAAUUCCCACCAUUGAUCCAUCAUCAUUGAUCCAUCAUCAUCAUUCAUCUCGAUCCAUCCAUGAUCUAUCAAUUCUCACCACUGAUCCAUCAUCAUCACCAUCAUCAUCAUCAUCACCAUCAUCAUCAUCAUCAUCAUCUUCCAUGUCCAUCCAUGAUCCAUCAAUUCCUACCAUUGAUCUUCAUCGUUGGUCCAUCAUCAUCAAUCCAUCUUCAUCAUCCAUCAUCAUCGCCAUCAUCUCCAUCUCCAUCCAUCAAUUCCCACCACUGAUCCAUCAUCGAUCCAUCACCAUCAUCAUCAUCCAUCUCCAUCCAUGUCCAUCCAUGAUCCAUCAAUUCCCACCAUUGAUCAAUCAUCAUCAUCAUCACCAUCAUCUCCAUCAUCAUCCAUCCAUGAUCCAUCAAUUCCCACCACUGAUCCAUCAUCAUCAUCAUCAUCAUCAUCACCAUCAUCUCCAUCAUCUCCAUCCAUCCAUGAUCCAUCAAUUCCCACCGUUCCCACCUCACAGAAGACCUUCCUCGCCUCGGUCUCGUAGAAGAGCCCCACGAUGAUCCGGGCGUCCUGGCGCUGCGGGAUUGGACGGCUCGUUAAGCCACGCCCACCUCAUUUGCAUAAUUACAUGUCCAUCUCCCACCGCUUUGGCUGUUCCUGGUUGACCACGAUGGAUUUUUGGGGGUCCACCACGGUUGGGGAGGGGUUUGAGGGUGGGGUUGGACCUCAGGGUGGUUCUGAAGGUGGGGAUGGACCUCAGGGUGGUCCCAUGGGUGGGGUUGGACCUCAUGGUGGUCCUGAAGGUGGGGUUGGACCUCAGGGUUGGUUCCAAAGGUGGGGUUGGACCUCAAGGUGAUUCUGAAGGUGGGGUUGGACCUCAGGGUGGUCCUGAAGGUGGGGUUGGACCUCAG